UACGUAGGGUGCAAGCGUUGUCCGGAAUUAUUGGGCGUAAAGAGCUCGUAGGCGGUUUGUUGCGUCGGCUGUGAAAUCCCGAGGCUCAACCUCGGGUCUGCAGUCGAUACGAGCAAACUAGAGUGUUGCAGGGAGACUGGAAUUCCUGGUGUAGCGGUGAAAUGCGCAGAUAUCAGGAGGGAACACCGGUGGCGAAGGCGGGUCUCUGGGACAAACAACUGACGCUGGAGGAGCGAAAGCGUCGGGGAGCGAACAGG
rnacentral:rRNA from 1 species